rnacentral:rRNA from 1 species
GGUCUUAGCUUGCUAAGACUGAUGGCGACCGGCGCACGGGUGCGUAACGCGUAUGCAACUUGCCUCACAGAGGGGGAUAACCCGUCGAAAGACGGACUAAUACCGCGUACACUUACAGGAGGGCAUCCUCCAGUAAGGAAAUGAAAUUCGCUGUGAGAUAGGCAUGCGUCCCAUUAGCUAGUUGGUGAGGUAACGGCUCACCAAGGCGACGAUGGGUAGGGGAACUGAGAGGUUGAACCCCCACACUGGUACUGAGACACGGACCAGACUCCUACGGGAGGCAGCAGUGAGGAAUAUUGGUCAAUGGGCGAGAGCCUGAACCAGCCAAGUCGCGUGAAGGAUGACUGUCUUAUGGAUUGUAAACCUCUUUUAUACGGGAAUAACAAGAGUCACGUGUGGCUCCCUGCAUGUACCGUAUGAAUAAGCAUCGGCUAACUCCGUGCCAGCAGCCGCGGUAAUACGGAGGAUGCGAGCGUUAUCCGGAUUUAUUGGGUUUAAAGGGUGCGUAGGCGGCCUGUUAAGUCAGCGGUGAAAUCUAGGAGCUUAACUCCUAAAUUGCCAUUGAUACUGGCGGGCUUGAGUGUAGAUGAGGUAGGCGGAAUGCGUGGUGUAGCGGUGGAAUGCAUAGAUAUCACGCAGAACUCCGAUUGCGAAGGCAGCUUACUAAGGUACAACUGACGCUGAAGCACGAAAGCGUGGGUAUCAAACAGGAUUAGAUACCCUGGUAGUCCACGCAGUAAACGAUGAUAACUGGGCGUAUGCGAUAUACAGUAUGCUCCUAAGCGAAAGCGUUAAGUUAUCCACCUGGGGAGUACGCCGGCAACGGUGAAACUCAAAGGAAUUGACGGGGGCCCGCACAAGCGGAGGAACAUGUGGUUUAAUUCGAUGAUACGCGAGGAACCUUACCCGGGAUUGAAAUGUAGAUGACCGCUCCUGAAAGGGAGUUUUCCUUCGGGACAUCUAUGUAGGUGCUGCAUGGUUGUCGUCAGCUCGUGCCGUGAGGUGUCGGCUUAAGUGCCAUAACGAGCGCAACCCCUGUCUACGGUUGCCAUCAGGUAAUGCUGGGAACUCCGUAGAGACUGCCGUCGUAAG